GGUCAAGUUAUUAAGGGUGCAGGGCGGAUGCCUUGGCACUAGGAGCCGAUGAAGGACGUGAUAAGCUGCGAUAAGCUUCGGGGAGUUGCACGUAAACUUUGAUCCGAAGAUUUCCGAAUGAGGAAACUCACUUAGAGUAAUGUCUAAGUAUCAUUAAGUGAAUACAUAGCUUAAUGAGGGGAACUCAGGGAACUGAAACAUCUAAGUACCUGAAGGAAGAGAAAGAAAUUCGAUUCCGUAAGUAGCGGCGAGCGAACGCGGAUUAGCCCAAACCAAUAAAGUUUUCUUUAUUGGGGUUGCGGACAUAUCAUAACGAAGAGGUAUCGUAAUUGAAGAGGUUUGGAAAGACCCACCACAGAAGGUAAUAGUCCUGUAUGUUAAACGAGAAGACUUUAGAUAUGAUCCAGAGUACCACGGGACACGUGAAACCCUGUGGGAAGCAGGAGGGACCACCCUCCAAGGCUAAAUACUACCUAGUGACCGAUAGCGUAUAGUACCGUGAGGGAAAGGUGAAAAGAACCCCGGGAGGGGAGUGAAAUAGAACCUGAAACCCUGCACUUACAAGCUGUGGAAGCACAUUUCUUGUGUGACCGCGUACUUUUUGUAGAACGGGCCAACGAGUUACGUUAAGUAGCAAGGUUAAGCACUUAAGGUGUGGAGCCGUAGCGAAAGCGAGUUUUAACUGAGCGUUCAGUUACUUGACGUAGACCCGAAACCGGGCGACCUACCCAUGAGCAGGAUGAAGCGAAAGUAAAAUUUCGUGGAGGUCCGAACCCACGAGCGUUGAAAAGCUCGGGGAUGACUUGUGGGUAGCGGUGAAAUUCCAAUCGAGCCCGGAGAUAGCUGGUUCUCCCCGAAAUAGCUUUAGGGCUAGCCUCAAGGUGAGAGAUACGGAGGUAGAGCACUGAAUGUCCUAGGGGGUAUUGCACCUACCGAAGACUAUCAAACUCCGAAUGCCGUCAUCUUAUACUUGGGAGUCAGACUGUGGGUGAUAAGAUUCAUAGUCGAAAGGGCAACAGCCCAGAUCGUCAGCUAAGGUCCCUAAAUGUAAGUUAAGUGGUAAAGGAUGUGGGAUUGCACAGACAACCAGGAUGUUGGCUUAGAAGCAGCCACUCAUUCAAAGAGUGCGUAAUAGCUCACUGGUCGAGUGAUCCUGCGCCGAAGAUUUCCGGGGCUAAAACUUACUACCGAAGCUACGGCAUCAGUAAUGAUGGGUAGGGGAGCUUCCCAUACGGGUUGAAGCAUGACCGUAAGGACAUGUGGACAGUAUGGGAGUGAGAAUGUUGGCAUGAGUAGCGAGAUGUGGGUGAGAAUCCCACAGGCCGUAAACCCAAGGUUUCCAGGGGAAGGUUCGUCCGCCCUGGGUUAGUCGGGACCUAAGCUGAGGCCGAAAGGCGUAGGUGAUGGACAACAGGUUGAUAUUCCUGUACUACCGAUAACCGUUUGAGAGAAGGGAUGACACAGUAGGAUAAGCUAAGCACACUGUUGGUUAUGUGUGCCCAAGCAUUGAGGCAGUCAAAGUAGGCAAAUCCGCUUUGAUAAUGCUGGGAUGUGAUGGGGAGCGAAAUUUAGUAGCGAAGUAGCUGAUUUCACACUGUCAAGAAAAGUCUCUAUCGAGGUUAAAGGUACCCGUACCGCAAACCGACACAGGUGGGUGAGGAGAGUAUCCUAAGGCCAGCGAGAGAACUGUUGUUAAGGAACUCGGCAAAAUGACCCCGUAACUUAGGGAUAAGGGGUGCCACCAUCAGGUGGCCGCAGAGAAUAGGCCCAAGCGACUGUUUACCAAAAACAUAGGUUUCUGCUAAGUCGCAAGACGAUGUAUAGGAGCUGACGCCUGCCCGGUGCUGGAAGGUUAAGGGGAUCUGUUAGAGCAAUCGAAGCAGUGAACUUAAGCCCCAGUAAACGGCGGCCGUAACUAUAACGGUCCUAAGGUAGCGAAAUUCCUUGUCGGGUAAGUUCCGACCCGCACGAAAGGCGUAACGAUUUGGGCACUGUCUCAACAACAGACUCGGUGAAAUUGUAAUUCCGGUGAAGAUGCCGGAUACCUGCGACAGGACGGAAAGACCCCAUGGAGCUUUACUGUAGCUUGACAUUGGGUCUUGGUACUACAUGUACAGGAUAGGUGGGAGGCUUUGAAACCAGGACGCCAGUUUUGGCGGAGCCAUCCUUGGGAUACCACCCUUGUAGUACUGGGACUCUAACCAUAGGCCAUGAAUCUGGUCUUGGGACACUGUCAGGUGGGCAGUUUGACUGGGGCGGUCGCCUCCCAAAAGGUAACGGAGGCGCUCAAAGGUUCUCUCAGUACGGUCGGAAAUCGUACGUAGAGUGUAAAGGCAAAAGAGAGCUUGAUUGCAAGACAUACAGGUCGAGCAAGGAUGAAAAUCGGACUUAGUGAUCCGGUGGUUCUGCGUGGAAGGGCCAUCGCUCAACGGAUAAAAGCUACCCUGGGGAUAACAGGCUUAUCUCCCCCAAGAGUCCACAUCGACGGGGAGGUUUGGCACCUCGAUGUCGGCUCAUCACAUCCUGGGGCUGUAGUAGGUCCCAAGGGUUGGGCUGUUCGCCCAUUAAAGUGGUACGCGAGCUGGGUUCAGAACGUCGUGAGACAGUUCGGUCCCUAUCCGUCGCAGGCGUAGGAAAUUUGAGAAGACCUGUCCUUAGUACGAGAGGACCGGGAUGGACGUACCUCUGGUGUACCAGUUGUCCUGCCAAGGGCAUGGCUGGGUAGCUAUGUACGGAAUGGAUAAGCGCUGAAAGCAUCUAAGCGCGAAGCCAACUUCAAGAUAAGAUUUCCCACCGCAAGGGUAAGACCCCAGAAAGACUAUCUGGUUGAUAGGUCGAAGGUGUAAGUGCAGCAAUGUAUUUAGCUUAUCGAUACUAAUAGGUCGAGGACUUGACCAA
rnacentral:rRNA from 1 species